rnacentral:misc_RNA from 1 species
GGUAGGAUCCCCUCCUUUCUAGAGCAUAUGGUUAUUUAAGUGCCUACAGCCUAUCGGUUGUUACCUAACAGACAGCGGGUCUGUAGCUCAGCUGGUUAGAGCAUCGUCUUGAUAAGGCGGGGGUCGUUGGUUCGAACCCAACCAGACCCACCAGCACAAGAAGCAGGAGAAGUAGCGGGGGCAUAGCUCAGUUGGGAGAGCGCCUGCUUUGCAAGCAGGAGGUCGUCGGUUCGAUCCCGUCUGCCUCCACCAGCGAAAGAAGCGAUAUCAAAGAAGGAAUUCUUUGAUAUCGGUUUUUUUAGCCGAAGGCUGUUUGGAUCUUUAACAAUUUGGAAGAAGUAAAGUGUUCGGCUCCAGGAAUGGAGUCGUACAUGGGUUGUGAUUGCAUUCUUCGGCGUCGUGUGCGAACCAGCCGCGACGUUGAAACAAGCGCGAGUUGCACCUGUAGCGUGGGUUCUGGGAACAGAGCUCAAGGUUAUAGGGUCAAGCGACUAAGUGCAUGUGGUGGAUGCCUUGGCGAUGUCAGGCGAUGAAGGACGUUGUAGCGUGCGAAAAGCGACGGGGAGCCCGCAAACAGGCUUUGAUCCGUCGAUGUCCGAAUGGGGAAACCCGG